rnacentral:rRNA from 1 species
UACGUAGGGUGCGAGCGUUGUCCGGAAUUAUUGGGCGUAAAGAGCUCGUAGGCGGUUUGUCGCGUCGGCCGUGAAAUCUCCACGCUUAACGUGGAGCGUGCGGUCGAUACGGGCAGACUUGAGUUCGGUAGGGGAGACUGGAAUUCCUGGUGUAGCGGUGGAAUGCGCAGAUAUCGGGAGGAACACCGGUGGCGAAGGCGGUUCUCUGGGCCUGUACUGACGCUGAGGAGCGAAAGCGUGGGGAGCAAACAGG